rnacentral:rRNA from 1 species
GAUGAACGCUGGCGGCGUGCCUGAUACAUGCAAGUCGAGCGAACAGACGAGGAGCUUGCUCCUUUGACGUUAGCGGCGGACGGGUGAGUAACACGUGGGUAACCUACCUAUAAGACUGGGAUAACUUCGGGAAACCGGAGCUAAUACCGGAUAAUAUUUCGAACCGCAUGGUUCGAUAGUGAAAGAUGGCUUUGCUAUCACUUAUAGAUGGACCUGCGCCGUAUUAGCUAGUUGGUAAGGUAACGGCUUACCAAGGCAACGAUACGUAGCCGACCUGAGAGGGUGAUCGGCCACACUGGAACUGAGACACGGUCCAGACUCCUACGGGAGGCAGAAGUAGGGAAUCUUCCGCAAUGGGCGAAAGCCUGACGGAGCAACGCCGCGUGAGUGAUGAAGGUCUUCGGAUCGUAAAACUCUGUUAUUAGGGAAGAACAAACGUGUAAGUAACUGUGCACGUCUUGACGGUACCUAAUCAGAAAGCCACGGCUAACUACGUG